rnacentral:lncRNA from 1 species
UGCAUCCUUAUUAACAUGAGCUAUGUCAGAGGUUAAUCUUUCUUUUUGAGGUUCUGCAACAUGAGCUUUGUCAGAGAUUGCAGCUUCUGUCUUCUUUUCCUUUACAACUUGAUCCUUGUCAGAGGUUGUAGACUUCUUCUUAUCCCAGCCUUUCUCCAGAUGUUCAUCUACUUUGCUUUUACCCUUGGAAGUGUAUUCAUCUUCAGAGUAUACCUUUUUGACUGGUAAACUCUGAUCAGCAACAGUAGGUUCCUUAAUCAAUAUCCCCUUUUCCUUUGGUUUGGCAGUUGACUUUGCAGGCUUUUGGAUCUUUCCAGAGUUUAUGGCUUCAAUAUGUUCCUUUUUCAGCUCAGCUUCCUCUGCAGCAAUCAACU